AUACUUACCUUGUUCAGUCUUGGGAGGCUCAUGCAUCUCUCAAGGCAAAGAGGAUGACCUACAUUGCACACCGUGGAGUCGGCCUCUUUCGAUUGUCCUUCGGGGCCGUCGUGGGCGGAAUUUUUGAUUUACAAACAUUCUUUUUC
rnacentral:snRNA from 1 species